GGGUGACACUGGCUCAGGGGGGCUCCAUGCUCACCCCUGCCUGACUGUGGUUCUGGAUCUGGGGUCUCAGGGGAGGUAGAAGGCACCCCUGGCCAGACUGGGGUGUUCAGGCUUGUGGAGGAAGCUGGCAUCCCCAGUCCCCCCAGGCUGGCAGCUGGGGCUUGCGGAUUGGGGGCCAGGCAGCCAGAGGCAGGCCCCAACUGGGGGGUGGGGGGCGGCCCAGGCCUUGGGUUCUAGGUCCACUCUGUCCUCCAACAGCUGUGCAGCCUCCGGCAGGGGCCUCCCCCUCUCUGGGCCUCAGUGUCCCCCUCUCCAUACCCAGGCAGCUGGGAUGGACCUGCAGGGUGCAGGAUUGGGGCAGGCUGGGGGCCUGUUCCUGGCAACGUGUGCAAACCUGGGGGCAGCAGGCCCCCUCCUCCCUCCUCCCUGCUGGUUCUCCCCAUUCUCUGCUGCUCUCUCCCCUCUUCUGAGCUCUGCACCCCCACCCACCACCGUGUGAGUCUGUCACCCAGGACUCAUGGGGAGGGGGCGUGACAGUGUGUGUGCGCAAGACUCCGAGAUGGAGACUGGGAGAGUGAAGACAGGACAGGUGGGGGAGAGGGAGCGAGAGAAGACUGAGGGGAGGGGAAAGAGGGGGAGAGGGGGAAGUGGAGAUGCAGGAAGGGAGACGCAGCAGCAGGCGGAGAUGGAGUGCACCCGAAGGCUGGGGCAACAGGCAGGGAGAGGGAAGGUCUCGGUAGAAGGAAAAGCCUUGCAGAAUAACGGGCCUUCACAGAUGCCCAGAGUGGGGUUGGGGUUUACCUGGAGCCACACAGCAUAGCUGGGACAUCAUUGGGAACAGAAUCAGACCUAAACCAUGGUGUCUCUGCCUUUGCGCAGUGGGAUGUGUGUGUGUUUUCAGCUGUGAAACUGGAUGUUUUAUCUUUGACUGAGUUUGUCUGCCAUGAGAUGACGCACCUGUGUGUGUGGGGGGGUGUCCUCUGUGAGAGCAACUAUGUCUGCAGGUGUGAGAGAGUAGCCUGUGUGCACCUGUGUAUUUCUGGGCACCAUUCCUUGAGUCCAUGAGUGGUCCCUUGGGGUGUAUGUGUGUGUGAGAAAGUGUGUAUGUGUGUGUGUCAGUAUGAGCAUAUAGAUGUGUGGAUGCUCUGCAUGAAUUUGUGUGUGCAUUGUCUAAGUGCAAAAGUGUGUGUGUGUCGUGCAUAUGAAAACCUGUACGUGUGUGAGUGUAUGGGUACAUAUCUGUGAGUGUGCACAGCUGUGUGUAGGUUGUGUGUUAGUGUUUGCAUAGGUGUGUGUGUUUGAGUGUGUGUAGUGUGUGUGGGUAUGUAUAUGCCUGUAUGACUUGGUGUGUAUGUGUGUCCCCUUGGCUCAGGGUGGCCAGUCCCUCACUAUUUUUCCAGCUGUGCCCUUGUAGUGACCCCUGGGGGGCAGUGUCCUUCCUGGACGCGUGGCUUGAGCCCAGUGCCAAGGCCGCCACCCUCCCGGAGUGCCUCUGGUGGCAGCCGGGGCCAGGCACCCCGCCUGUGGCUGUGUGGACAUCGUGGGGAACGGGUAGGGCGGAGAGCAAGCGGUGACCUGCAUUGGGGGCUGCGGUCGGUAACCCUGAGGUUGGGGAGAGGGACUCCGCGCCGUGGGAGGGGGCAGCCAGCGCAGGCGGGGAGGAGCCACGCAGGGCUGCCCGGCCCUGACCCAAAUAGCUCAGCGCUGGCACACAUCCCCCUCUCGCUUUUCUGCAGACACCCCUCUGUCUAAGCUCUCCAGUGCCAGCGCCCAGCCCCAGGAGAUCCCAGCACAUCCAAGGGGCCCCGACCCUACAGGCAGAGCCCAGGACCCACCCUGGGGCUUCCCUAGGACUCCCCGUCCCCCAUUCCACCCCGUCCCCCAUUCCACCACCGGGUCCCCCGCUCAGCCAGCCUUGCUCCUCAUUAAUCUCAAAGUCAAGGGCUUGAAUUAAACUGGGUCAGGGGACAGUUCUUCUGCCCCUCUUAGAACUGACCCAGGCUGAGCUCCCUUCCCCAGGGACCCGGUUUCUGUAAGAUUCCCACCUGGGCCCCACCCUCCAGACCCAUUUCUGUGCCCUGGCGCCCAAGCAGAACCUCAUCUCCACCCACCCCCCACUGCCCCCCACCCCCAGCGUCCUGGCUGCCCGUUCCUUCCUCGGACAGGCUGCAAGCUCCCUCUUCCAACUCCCCCACCCCAUUUUCCCAGCCCGGCCCUUAGCCCCCGCAGCCUCCUCCCCACCUCAGGUCUGAGUCCCGUCCCAGAACCGCGGAACCCCCAGCCUUUUCCCCUCCACCCUCACCAGCUCAUCUCUCUCCGGGGUCCCGCCUUAACUGGGACGUAUUUAACUGGCCUGCCCCGAUCCGAUGGGGGAGGGCUCGUCUUUAGGGCACGGAGGGGGGCCCUGUCCCCGGGUGACCCUAGAGGCUGGCUCCCCAGGCAGCUCAGGGACCCGGGAGCCCAAGAGGCCCUGCCCUCCCUCCUCUAGCACUCGGCAGUCCGGCCCCUCGCCCUCCCUUAUUUAAGGAGCCAGGGGUCUUACCGCACGCCGGUCCCCGGGGAGCCUGCGGGUAUGGGAGCCCCACGCUCCUCCCUUAGACACCCUAAGUCCGCGCCAGACCCCCACCCCCGGAGAACACAGGGAUCGGCCACCAGCCUCCUUCUCCCUCGGGACCCAGAAGCUCUGGCCUCCCGCCCCGGCCCCAGGACACCCUUGCCUGCGCCCACCUGCUGGAGCCCACAGAUGCCACACCGAUACAUGGGGACCAAGAGACCCUUGGAGGGGACCUGGGCACGUUGACGUCACCACCCAGGCAGUCCCUGUCGGAGCUACAACCAAGGUUCCCAGGAAUCUACUCCAGGGGUGACCCCCAAACCCUUGUGGAGCUAGACUUCGCCACCUGGAGACCCCACACCUGGCCUCACCAGGCGGGAAUGAGAUGGGCAGGAGGGGGGAGGAGAGGCUCACACCGCACCUGUCUCAUCCCAAUGGUGCCUCUGAUUGGCGAGAAAGGGCUGGGUGGGGAGUUGCCACAUUACUAGGGGGAAAAAUAACGGCGGUGGUGGAGAUGGUGGUGAUGGUGAUGAGAGUGGAUGGUGACACUGGUAGAGACGGGAGAGUGAGGAUAGCUGCCCCCGCAGCACACGUGCACGCACGCGCACACACACGCACACACUCAUUCACCGUUACUCCCGUGGGUCUUCUCCAGCCUGCUUCCAGUUCUGGCUGAAAGCACGUCCUCCACCACCCUCAACCGCAUGGGCUGCACGGGUCCGGAGAGGAGCAAGAUCCUGAGAUGAGCAGCUGUGAGUCAUACUAAGUGACCCCAGGCAAACCCAUGACCCUGGUCUAAUCAGAAGAAAAACAUCUGCCUUAGCCCAGACCCCAGUCUCUCGCACAUUCUACAAGGUGCCUGGUCCAAGCCGAAUGUGGCCCUUGGGAGUGCGGGGUCAGUAGCUGUGCCUGUGUCCCCGCGGGACUGCAGGAGGCUAGCAGCCCAGAAGCCAGGCGAAGCCUGUAGAGGAACGCUUUGUACUCUGCUUGUGACUUUUCUGUGCAUUUCAAGUUAUUCUAAAAUAAAAGUUUUACUUAAA